GACGGGUGAGUAACGCGUGGAACGUGCCUUUCACUACGGAAUAGCUUUUGGAAACGAAAGGUAAUACCGUAUACGCCCUCCGGGGGAAAGAUUUAUCGGUGAAAGAUCGGUCCGCGUUAGAUUAGCUAGUUGGUGAGGUAAAAGCUCACCAAGGCGACGAUCUAUAGCUGGUCUGAGAGGAUGAUCAGCCACACUGGGACUGAGACACGGCCCAGACUCCUACGGGAGGCAGCAGUGGGGAAUAUUGCACAAUGGGCGCAAGCCUGAUGCAGCCAUGCCGCGUGAAUGAUGAAGGCCUUAGGGUUGUAAAAUUCUUUCGCUAGGGAUGAUAAUGACAGUACCUAGUAAAGAAGCCCCGGCUAACUUCGUGCCAGCAGCCGCGGUAAUACGAAGGGGGCUAGCGUUGUUCGGAAUUACUGGGCGUAAAGCGCACGUAGGCGGACUUUUAAGUCAGAUGUGAAAUCCCGAGGCUCAACCUCGGAACUGCAUUUGAAACUGGGAGUCUAGAGAUCAGGAGAGGUUAGCGGAAUACCGAGUGUAGAGGUGAAAUUCGUAGAUAUUCGGUGGAACACCAGUGGCGAAGGCGGCUAACUGGACUGAUACUGACGCUGAGGUGCGAAAGUGUGGGGAGCAAACAGGAUUAGAUACCCUGGUAGUCCACACCGUAAACGAUGAGUGCUAGUUGUCUGCAGGCAUGCCUGUAGGUGACGCAGCUAACGCAUUAAGCACUCCGCCUGGGGAGUACGGCCGCAAGGUUAAAACUCAAAGAAAUUGACGGGGGCCCGCACAAGCGGUGGGAGCAU
rnacentral:rRNA from 1 species